UACGGAGGGUGCGAGCGUUGUCCGGAAUCACUGGGCGUAAAGGGCGCGUAGGCGGCGCGGAUAGUCGGCGGUGAAAGCCCGGAGCUCAACUCCGGGUCGGCCGUCGAUACUUCCGGGCUUGAGCACUGUAGAGGCAGAUGGAAUUCCGGGUGUAGCGGUGGAAUGCGUAGAGAUCCGGAAGAACACCGGUGGCGAAGGCGGCCUGCUGGGCAGUGAGCUGACACUGAGGCGCGACAGCGUGGGGAGCAAACAGG
rnacentral:rRNA from 1 species